AUAUGGGCCUCGUGACUAUAUGGC
rnacentral:siRNA from 1 species